rnacentral:rRNA from 1 species
GACGAACGCUGGCGGCGUGCCUAAUACAUGCAAGUCGAGCGGACUUGAUGAAGUGCUUGCACUUCUGAUGGUUAGCGGCGGACGGGUGAGUAACACGUAGGUAACCUGCCUAUAAGACUGGGAUAACAUUCGGAAACGAAUGCUAAUACCGGAUACGCGAAUUGGUCGCAUGGCCGAAUCGGGAAAGACGGAGCAAUCAGUACCUUAGAGAUGGACCUGCGGCGCAUUAGCUAGUUGGUGAGGUAACGGCUCACCAAGGCGACGAUGCGUAGCCGACCUGAGAGGGUGAUCGGCCACACUGGGACUGAGACACGGCCCAGACUCCUACGGGAGGCAGCAGUAGGGAAUCUUCCGCAAUGGACGAAAGUCUGACGGAGCAACGCCGCGUGAGUGAUGAAGGUUUUCGGAUCGUAAAGCUCUGUUGCCAGGGAAGAACGCUUGGGAGAGUAACUGCUCUCAAGGUGACGGUACCUGAGAAGAAAGCCCCGGCUAACUAUGUGCCAGCCGCCGCUGUAA